GUAAUUCUGAAUGCGACUGAGUGGUUGUUUAUUUCUGUUUGUUGGCCCUGUGAUGGACCAAGUGGUGACCUGACCAGGGUGUAACCGGCCCCUCGUCCGGAACAUUGGCUGGGAUUGACUCCAGCACCCCCUGCGACCCAGAAAUGGUAAAGCAGUCAAAGAUCAAUGGAUGGAUCCUCUGCAGAACCGUAAAAACCAGCAGAAAUGGCUCCAAAAACCACCAAGGCGGCCAUAAAGGACUCACUGGCCAACCUGAGCCAGGACAAAUUUGCAGAGUUCGUUGAGCAGCUUCUGGACCGCAGAGAGCCUCCGAAGGUCCGACGCUCUGAAGUGGAGGGGAAAAGCCGCUUAGCUGUCACAAACCUCCUGGUGUCGACUUUUACUGAGCAGGAAGCAGGAGUGUGUCAAAGGUCUUCAUGUUUUUAUUGA
rnacentral:lncRNA from 1 species